GAGUUUGAUCCUGGCUCAGGAUGAACGCUGGCGGCGUGCCUAACACAUGCAAGUCGAGCGAUUCUCUUCGGAGAAGAGCGGCGGACGGGUGAGUAACGCGUGGGUAACCUGCCUCAUACACAUGGAUAACAUACCGAAAGGUAUGCUAAUACAAGAUGAUAUAAGAGAUUCGCAUGGGUUUCUUAUCAAAGCUCCGGCGGUAUGAGAUGGACCCGCGUCUGAUUAGCUAGUUAGUAAGGUAACGGCUUACCAAGGCGACGAUCAGUAGCCGACCUGAGAGGGUGAUCGGCCACAUUGGAACUGAGACACGGUCCAAACUCCUACGGGAGGCAGCAGUGGGGAAUAUUGCACAAUGGGCGAAAGCUUGAUGCAGCAACGCCGCGUGAGCGAUGAAGGCCUUCGGGUCGUAAAGCUCUGUCCUCAAGGAAGAUAAUGACGGUACUUGAGGAGGAAGCCCCGGCUAACUACGUGCCAGCAGCCGCGGUAAUACGUAGGGGGCUAGCGUUAUCCGGAUUUACUGGGCGUAAAGGGUGCGUAGGUGGUUUCUUAAGUCAGGAGUGAAAGGCUACGGCUCAACCGUAGUAAGCUCUUGAAACUGGGAAACUUGAGUGCAGGAGAGGAAAGUGGAAUUCCUAGUGUAGCGGUGAAAUGCGUAGA
rnacentral:rRNA from 1 species